rnacentral:rRNA from 1 species
GGGUUAGUAGGUUGGUCAUGCCCCUGGUAUGCACUGGUCUCACUGAUUCCUCCUUCCUGAUGAGCCGUAAUGCCAUUAAUUUGGUGUUGCGGGGAAUUUGGACUGUUACUUUGAAAAAAUUAGAGUGUUUAAAGCAAGCUAACGCUUGAAUACAUUAGCAUGGAAUAAUGAAAUAGGACGUUCGAUCCUAUUUUGUUGGUCUGUGGGACCGGAGUA